GCUGGCGGUGCGCCUUAUGCAUGCAAGUCGAGCGAAGCUUUUCAGUAGUUUACUACAGAAAAUGACUGAGCGGCGAACGGGUGAGUAACGCGUGAGCAAUCUACCUUAGUUACAGGGAUAGCCCGAGGAAACUCGGAUUAAUACCUGAUAUUCUUUUUAUCUCGCAUGAGAUUUUAAGGAAAGGUCAGCCGAACUAAGAUGAGCUCGCGUUCUAUCAGCUAGUUGGUGAGGUAAUAGCUCACCAAGGCUACGACGGAUAGCUGGUCUGAGAGGACGAUCAGCCACACUGGGACUGAGACACGGCCCAGACUCCUACGGGAGGCUGCAGCAGGGAAUAUUGCGCAAUGAGCGAAAGCUUGACGCAGCGACACCGCGUGUGGGAUGACGGAUCUAGGUUUGUAAACCACUUUCAGGGGGGAAGAAAAUGACGGUACCUCCACAAGAAGCCCCGGCCAACUACGUGCCAGCAGCCGCGGUAAUACGUAGGGGGCGAGCGUUGUCCGGAUUUAUUGGGCGUAAAGAGCUCGUAGGCGGUUCAACAAGUCGGUCGUGAAAGUUCAGGGCUCAACCCUGAAAUGUCGAUCGAUACUGUUGUGACUCGGAUACGGUAGAGGUGAGUGGAAUUCCGAGUGUAGCGGUGAAAUGCGUAGAUAUUCGGAGGAACACCAAUUGCGAAG
rnacentral:rRNA from 1 species